rnacentral:rRNA from 1 species
CCCUGUAGCCAUGGCACUUUAGGUGAUGAUCUUAUCAGAUCUCCUAAACUGAGCAGCGUUGGGCCUGUUUAUUACUAGAGUGGGAGACCUCCAAGAAGUGGGGUGUCACAAAAA